AUUGAACGCUGGCGGCAGGCCUAACACAUGCAAGUCGAGCGGUAGAGAGGUGCUUGCACCUCUUGAGAGCGGCGGACGGGUGAGUAAUACCUAGGAAUCUGCCUGGUAGUGGGGGAUAACGUUCGGAAACGGACGCUAAUACCGCAUACGUCCUACGGGAGAAAGCAGGGGACCUUAGGGCCUUGCGCUAUCAGAUGAGCCUAGGUCGGAUUAGCUAGUUGGUGAGGUAAUGGCUCACCAAGGCUACGAUCCGUAACUGGUCUGAGAGGAUGGUCAGUCACACUGGAACUGAGACACGGUCCAGACUCCUACGGGAGGCAGCAGUGGGGAAUAUUGGACAAUGGGCGAAAGCCUGAUCCAGCCAUGCCGCGUGUGUGAAGAAGGUCUUCGGAUUGUAAAGCACUUUAAGUUGGGAGGAAGGGCAUUAACCUAAUACGUUAGUGUUUUGACGUUACCGACAGAAUAAGCACCGGCUAACUCUGUGCCAGCAGCCGCGGUAAUACAGAGGGUGCAAGCGUUAAUCGGAAUUACUGGGCGUAAAGCGCGCGUAGGUGGUUUGUUAAGUUGAAUGUGAAAUCCCCGGGCUCAACCUGGGAACUGCAUCCAAAACUGGCAAGCUAGAGUAUGGUAGAGGGUAGUGGAAUUUCCUGUGUAGCGGUGAAAUGCGUAGAUAUAGGAAGGAACACCAGUGGCGAAGGCGACUACCUGGACUGAUACUGACACUGAGGUGCGAAAGCGUGGGGAGCAAACAGGAUUAGAUACCCUGGUAGUCC
rnacentral:rRNA from 1 species